rnacentral:rRNA from 1 species
UACGUAGGGGGCAAGCGUUAUCCGGAUUUACUGGGUGUAAAGGGAGCGUAGGUGGUUCGGUAAGUCAGAUGUGAAAGCCCGGGGCUCAACCCCGGGACUGCAUUUGAAACUAUCGAACUAGAGUGCAGGAGAGGUAAGUGGAAUUCCUAGUGUAGCGGUGAAAUGCGUAGAUAUUAGGAGGAACACUAGUGGCGAAGGCGGCUUACUGGACUGUAACUGACACUGAGGCUCGAAAGCGUGGGGAGCAAACAGG